UACAGAGGUCUCAAGCGUUGUUCGGAUUCAUUGGGCGUAAAGGGUGCGUAGGUGGCGGGGUAAGUCAGGUGUGAAAUCUCGGAGCUCAACUCCGAAACUGCACUUGAUACUGCCUUGCUGGAGUACUGGAGAGGAGAUUGGAAUUUACGGUGUAGCGGUGAAAUGCGUAGAUAUCGUAAGGAAGACCAGUGGCGAAGGCGGGUCUCUGGACAGUUCCUGACGCUGAGGCACGAAGGUCAGGGGAGCAAACGGG
rnacentral:rRNA from 1 species